rnacentral:rRNA from 1 species
CCCUUAGAUGUUCUGGGCUGCACACGUGCUACACUGGCAGGUUCAGCGAGCUUCAUGCCCUGAUCUGAAAGGAAUGGGAAAUCUUUUCAAAACCUGCCGUGCUUGGGAUAGAUGUUUGCAAUUAUUCAUCUUCAACGAGGAUUGCCUUGUAAGCGCACGUCAUCAGCGUGCAUUGAAUACGACCCUGUAUUCUGUACACACCGCCCGUCGCUCCUACCGAUUGAAGUUUUCGGUGAGUUGACAGGAGGAUUUUUUUAAAACUGGUUCGCCAGUGGAUUUUAGAUCCAAAUGCCAACGAAUCGAUGGCUUUAGAGGAAGGAGAAGUCGUAACA